GGGGCAGGGUCUAUUGGGUCUGACCCGGAUCUCACCGGAUCUGACUGUGGCACUCAGUACGGAGCCAGUGAUCACCAAGGCAUCCAGAGAGGUAACCGGCUCCCCAGGUGAAGACCAGGACAUAGCUCUGUCUGCACAACCUGAUUCAAUAAAGCUUCAGUUUGUUCACAUUC